CCAUCGAUAGCUCAAUUUGCAAAUCUGUGGACUAUCGAUGCAUAGGUCACUGGUUCGAUUCCAGAUCGACGGA